UACGUAGGCAGCAAGCGUUGUUCGGAGUUACUGGGCGUAAAGGGUGUGUAGGCGGUUCUUUAAGUUUGGUGUGAAAUCUCCCCGGCUCAACUGGGAGGGUGCGCCGAAUACUGAGGGACUAGAGUACGGGAGAGGAAAGUGGAAUUCCUGGUGUAGCGGUGAAAUGCGUAGAUAUCAGGAGGAACACCGGUGGUGUAGACGGCUUUCUGGACCGACACUGACGCUGAGACACGAAAGCGUGGGUAGCAAACAGG
rnacentral:rRNA from 1 species